rnacentral:rRNA from 3 species
GGGUUGUGAGGUUAAGCGACUAAGCGUACACGGUGGAUGCCCUGGCAGUCAGAGGCGAUGAAGGGCGUGCUAAUCUGCGAUAAGCGCCGGUAAGGUGAUAUGAACCGUUAUAACCGGCGAUACCCGAAUGGGGAAACCCAGUGUGACUCGUCACACUAUCAUUAACUGAAUCCAUAGGU